rnacentral:rRNA from 1 species
AGUGAACGCUGGCGGUAGGCCUAACACAUGCAAGUCGAACGGCAGCACAGUAAGAGCUUGCUCUUACGGGUGGCGAGUGGCGGACGGGUGAGGAAUACAUCGGAAUCUACUUUUUCGUGGGGGAUAACGGAGGGAAACUUACGCUAAUACCGCAUACGACCUACGGGUGAAAGAAGGGGAUCUUCGGACCUUGCGCGAAUGAAUGAGCCGAUGUUGGAUUAGCUAGUUGGCGGGGUAAAGGCCCACCAAGGCGACGACCCGUAGCUGGUCUGUGAGGAUGAUCAGACACACUGGAACGGGGACACGGUCCAGACUCCUACGGGAGGCAGCAGUGGGGAAUAUUGGACAAUGGGCGCAAGCCUGAUCCAGCCAUACCGCGUGGGUGAAGAAGGCCUUCGGGUUGUAAAGCUCUUUUGUUGGGAAAGAAAAGCAGCAGGUUAAUACCCCGCUGUUCUGACGGUACCCAAAGAAUAAGCACCGGCUAACUUCGUG